GUAGGUGAACACAGUGAAUGCUCUCUGUUAUUAAUGGCGGUAUCUCGCCCCUUAUAUAGGGCCCGGAAACCAACCUAGCGACAUUUACAUAAAUGCCCCGUGACGGCGGGGGAAUAUUCCGGCAUAUCCUUUCAUUGCAGUCUACUGACCCUAAUACACCUGCGUAAUUUCACAUUGCAAAUCCUUCGUUCAUCCUCUGACUGGGGCCUCAGCAGGUCGGAGGCUUGGAUCCUCCGCUCAAUUGCGGAUCCUCCGACGCUUUGGUGUCGGAGGUUCCGCAGCCCGUCUGGUCGGAGGUGGCUCGACCCGGCCACCCCGGGAGGUCCUCCUUAGCCUGG
rnacentral:lncRNA from 1 species